UACGAAGGGGGCUAGCGUUGCUCGGAAUGACUGGGCGUAAAGGGCGCGUAGGCGGAUGACACAGUCAGAUGUGAAAUUCCCGGGCUUAACCUGGGGGCUGCAUUUGAUACGUGUUGUCUAGAGUGAGGAAGAGGGUUGUGGAAUUCCCAGUGUAGAGGUGAAAUUCGUAGAUAUUGGGAAGAACACCGGUGGCGAAGGCGGCAACCUGGUCCUUGACUGACGCUGAGGCGCGAAAGCGUGGGGAGCAAAUAGG
rnacentral:rRNA from 1 species